rnacentral:rRNA from 1 species
CCUACGGGAGGCAGCAGUGGGGAAUAUUGCACAAUGGGGGAAACCCUGAUGCAGCGACGCCGCGUGAGUGAAGAAGCGCCUCGGCGCGUAAAGCUCUGUCAGCAGGAACGCUAAUGACGGUACCUGAAGAAGACGCCCCGGCUAACUAUGUGCCAGCAGCCGCGGUAAUACGUAGGGGGUAAGCGUUAUCCGGAUUUACUGGGUGUAAAGGGAGCGUAGACGGCGGGGCAAGUCUGGAGUGAAAUGCCGGGGCCCAACCCCGGGACCGCCGUGGAAACUGCCCGGCUGGAGUGCGGGAGAGGGAAGCGGAAUGCCUAGUGUAGCGGUGAAAGGCGUAGAGAUUACGAGGAACACCAGCGGCGAAGGCGGCUUACUGGACCGUGACUGACGUGGAGGCUCGAAAGCGUGGGGAGCAAACAGGAUUAGAUACCCUGGUAGUC